rnacentral:tRNA from 1 species
AGGAUUGUAGUUAAAAAUAACACUCAAUUUGCAAUUGAGAAGAGUUCAAAACCGAACCUAUCUUA